rnacentral:rRNA from 1 species
UACGGAGGGUGCAAGCGUUAUCCGGAUUCACUGGGUUUAAAGGGUGCGUAGGUGGGCUGGUAAGUCAGUGGUGAAAUCCCCGAGCUUAACUUGGAAACUGCCGUUGAUACUAUCUGUCUUGAAUACCGUGGAGGUGAGCGGAAUAUGUCAUGUAGCGGUGAAAUGCUUAGAUAUGACAUAGAACACCAAUUGCGAAGGCAGCUCACUACACGAAUAUUGACUCUGAGGCACGAAAGCGUGGGGAUCAAACAGG